rnacentral:rRNA from 1 species
GACGAACGCUGGCGGCGUGCUUAACACAUGCAAGUCGAACGGAAAGGCCCUAGUUUGCUGGAGUACUCGAGUGGCGAACGGGUGAGUAACACGUGGGUGAUCUGCCCUGCACUUCGGGAUAAGCCUGGGAAACUGGGUCUAAUACCGGAUAGGACCGCACUCUGGUGUGUGUGGUGGAAAGGUUUUUCUGGUGUGGGAUGAGCUCGCGGCCUAUCCGUUUGUUGGGGGGGUAAUGGCCUACCAAGACGGCGACGGGUAGCCGGCCUGAGAGGGUGGACGGUCACAUUGGGACUGAGAUACGGCCCAGACUCCUACGGGAGGCAGCAGUGGGGAAUAUUGCACAAUGGGGGAAACCCUGAUGCAGCGACGCCGCGUGGGGGAUGAAGGCCUUCGGGUUGUAAACUCCUUUCGCUAGGGACGAAGCUUUUUGUGACGGUACCUGGAGAAGAAGCACCGGCUAACUACGUG